GGAAAUGUUUAACUUGUUCCAAAGUUAAGGCCGCAUAUCAAAAGCUCUCUGGUUUGCUUCAGGAACUAGAGACACCUCAAUGGAAAUGGGAGCAAAUAUCAUUGGAUUUUGUUACCAAGUUUCCAAGGACAACAAAGGGACACAAUUCUAUUUGGGUGGUGGUGGAUAGACUGACAAAAUACUCACACUUUCUGCCCAUUCGAGAAGAUUAACAAAUGGAAAGUAUUACUCGAAUUUACAUGGACGAGAUCGUAGUACCCCAUGGAGUACCUAUUUCCAUCAUCUCAGACGUAGAUAGCCGUUUUACGUCUUGAUUUUGGUGGUCACUUCAAAAAGCAUUAGAGAGACGUUUAGACUUAAGUACCGCCUACCAUCCCCAGACAGACGGUCAGAGAAAACGAACCAUUCAGACGUUAGAAGAUAUGCUUCGGGCUUGUGUGAUCGACUUUUGAGGAAGUUGGGAUAACCAUUUGCCGCUAGUCGAGUUCACCUAUAAUAAUAGCUACCAUACGGGCAUUCAAUAUGUCCCCUAUGAGACCUUGUACAGUCAUAAAUAUCGCUCACUUCUAUGUUAGAUGGAAAUUGGCGAUAUGAAGUUAACGAGACCGGAUUUAAUUCAAGAGACCACUAAAAAUAUCUCUAUGAUACGCGAUAGACUGAAAGCUGCUCGCGAUUACCAAAAGAGCUAUGCUGACAAACGUUGGAAACCCUUGGAAUUUCAAAAGGGAGACAGAGUACUCUUAAAAGUAUCCCCAUGGAAGGGAGUCGUGUGCUUUGGUAAAUGAGGAAAAUUGAGUCCCAGUUAUGUAGGACCCUUCGAGAUUAUCGAAAGGGUCGAUCCAGUUGCAUAUAAGCUCAAGAUACCUCAUGAACUGAGUGCGAUACACGACACAUUCCAUGUGUCGAACCUCAAAAAGUGCUCGGCGGUCGAAUCCCUACACAUACCUCUCGGGGACCUCCAAAUUAAUGAUCGACUAAANNNNNNNNNNNNNNNNNNNNNNNNNNNNNNNNNNNNACGUACCUCUCAGGGACCUCUAAAUUGAUGAUUAACUAAAGUUCAUGGAGGAACCCAUAGAGAUCCUCGACCGAGAGGUUAAGCAAUUAAAACAAAGUAAAAUACCGAUCGUGAAAGUUCGUUGGAAUUCUAAGCAUGGGCUCUAGUUUACGUAGGAGCGAGAGGAUUUCAUGAAGAACAAAUAUCCUCAACUAUUCGCUAUGUCUAAACCAGUGUUACUUCCAAUUGAAUUUUGGGACAAAAUUCCCACAAUUGGGGGAGAUUGUGACAUCCGCCAAAACUCAAGUCAGUACUCAUCUAGAACCUCUUCAUUUCCUUGUGUGUACUUAACUUGACUCUAGAGUUACAAGUUGAACUAGAUUCGCGACUUAAUAGAUCCCCUAAAACAAUUAGUGUACCUUAGCUUUUAUUGAAUGAUCACAUUGAUAUGUGAAUGAACCAACUAAGAGGUAAAGUGCCAAAGUUGAACCUUAAGUCUAAACACAAAACUAUGUUCGGUAGACCACAACCCAAGGGUAUGUUAGCA
rnacentral:lncRNA from 1 species